CCGCUUGCCAACCAGCGGACCUCAUUUCCAUCUCUCCUCCUCCUGACUCGAAACCUUGUGGUUAAAAUAACACACAGCCUCUAUUCAGAGCUCAAACUGAGAGCUGCGAUCGGAGGCAGAUUUGGGGUUCCAGGAACUCUCGGAAGAUGCAGCGGGUUGCUUUUUAUUAUAUGUCAUUUUAGACUUCAGCCGAGGAGUCGGGGAUCCCAGCGUGGGCCCUGCCAC